AUUGAACGCUGGCGGCAUGCCUUACACAUGCAAGUCGAACGGCAGCACGGGAGCAAUCCUGGUGGCGAGUGGCGAACGGGUGAGUAAUACAUCGGAACGUGCCUAGUUGUGGGGGAUAGCCCGGCGAAAGCCGGAUUAAUACCGCAUACGACCUACGGGUGAAAGCGGGGGAUCGCAAGACCUCGCGCUAUUGGAGCGGCCGAUGUCGGAUUAGCUAGUUGGUGGGGUAAAAGACUACCAAGGCUACGAUCCGUAGCUGGUCUGAGAGGACGCCCAGCCACACUGGGACUGAGACACGGCCCAGACUCCUACGGGAGGCAGCAGUGGGGAAUUUUGGACAAUGGGCGCAAGCCUGAUCCAGCCAUGCCGCGUGCGGGAAGAAGGCCUUCGGGUUGUAAACCGCUUUUGUCAGGGAAGAAACGGUUUGAGCUAAUACCUCGAACUAAUGACGGUACCUGAAGAAUAAGCACCGGCUAACUACGUGCCAGCCGCCGCCGUAACAC
rnacentral:rRNA from 1 species